AGAGUUUGAUCAUGGCUCAGAAUCAACGCUGGCGGCGUGCCUCAGACAUGCAAGUCGAACGCGAAAGCCUCUCUCGAGAGGCAAGUAGAGUGGCGCACGGGUGAGUAACACGUAGGUUAUCUACCUCCGAGUGGGGAAUAACAUCGGGAAACCGAUGCUAAUACCGCAUAACACCGAAAGGUCAAAGCUUUAGUGCUUGGAGAGGAGCCUGCGGCAGAUUCGCUAGUUGGUAAGGGAAUGGCUUACCAAGGCGACGAUCUGUAUCCGGCCUGAGAGGGCGGUCGGACACACUGACACUGAAUAGCGGGUCAGACUCCUACGGGAGGCAGCAGUCGGGAAUUUUGGGCAAUGGGCGAAAGCCUGACCCAGCAACGCCGCGUGAAGGAUGAAGUCCCUCGGGAUGUAAACUUCGAAAGAAUAGGAAGAAUAAAUGACGGUACUAUUGUUAAGCCCCGGCUAACUCCGUGCCAGCAGCCGCGGGAAUUC
rnacentral:rRNA from 1 species